rnacentral:piRNA from 1 species
UAGGGGACUUAACUCUAUGAUUCAGGCAAG